GCGCAGUUGGUGUAGUAGUUGCAUGGUCGCUUCCCAAGCGAUUGGUCGCGGGUGCAAACCCCGCACUGCGCA